CUCCCUGCUAUAAUUUCUCUAGGCUUAACUUGAGUAAUCCCUCCCCUUGUCUCUUACUCAUGAUCAAAUAAUGCAUUUGUUUCAGGCAAACAUUCCUGCUGCUUACCUAAAUGCCAAUAUGGAGUAGAGUGAACAACAGGAGAAAACUCUGAAUAUGUCACCCCUGAAAAAGUUGCCAA